AUUGAACGCUGGCGGCAGGCCUAACACAUGCAAGUCGAACGAGUGGCGGACGGGUGAGUAAUGUCUGGGAAACUGCAUGAUGGAGGGGGAUAACUACUGGAAACGGUAGCUAAUACCGCAUACCAUCGGAUGUGCCCAGAUGGGAUUAGCUAGUAGGUGGGGUAAAGGCUCACCUAGGCGACGGUCCCUAGCUGGUCUGAGAGGAUGACGUGCCAAACUUGAGAUGUGACCCGGUCCCGACUCCUACGGUAGGCAGCAGUGGGGAAGAUUGCACAAUGGGCGCAAGCCUGAUGCAGCCAUGCCGCGUGUAGUAAGAAGGCCUUCGUUUUGUAAAGCACUUUCAGCGGGGCGACGUUCCCCUCAUAAGAAGCACCUGCUAACGCCGUGCCAGCAGCCGCGGUAAUAC
rnacentral:rRNA from 1 species